rnacentral:tRNA from 1 species
AGAGGCUUAGGAUAACAAUCAGUCCAAGGGCCUUCAAAGCUCUAAGCGGGUGUGAAAACCUCCCAGCCCCUG